CAACUGGGCCUGGUACUAGUUGUCUGCGCAUGCGUCAAAUUUUCAUUGUAUAUUUGUGGUCGGCAAAAAUAUUUAAUAAAUCAAUAAUAGAAAUUUCUACACAGAAAAUGCACAGAGUGAGUACACAAAAGAUGCACAUAGGGAGCUGCUUCACAAAGGCCUGGGGAGUUGCCAGUUGUGCUGCAGCACAAUUACAGUGACCCAGGGCAACUUCAGGAUGAUUGAAUGCCUUCAAAUUACGUUUCAAAAAGAUUUAGCAGGCUGCUGGACUUCUCUGAUUCUAGGCCCCAACUCGUAACUCAUUGCUUGAGAAAACGUAGAUUCUCUUGAUGUCUCUGAGCUACCCAGCAACGCUCGAAUGAGCAGGUCAUACUCCAGUCCUGUGUCUGUGAGUAUAGGACAAUAUUAAAAGAAACCAAAGACGGUUAAACCCUUACCUCAAACUGUCCAGUCUCGUCCGUUAGUAUAGCCAAGAGGAGCACUGUUGGGAUAGCUGGAUAUUAGCCAUUGCUCCUGUACAGAGAAGUAGACAUUUUAAAUACGUGUAGAUCUAUACAUAUUAAAUUUCUCGGUUAUAGUGUCAUUGUCGACGAGCUGAUGAUGGCAGCACCAAGUUCUCUAGCUCACACUCUUCACUUGAUCCACCAUAUUAAUGAUGAAACUAUAGUCUACCUACAUUUUUGCCAAACAUGAACAAGACUUGAUAGCAUAGCCGGCCAUAGGGCCCACACAAAAAUAUCUGACCUUAACAAGCUUGACAAAGCUUUAUACCUCUUCCCUUGUUGUUCAGUCUUCAGAAAAUAAGCUUCAGAGAAGAGAGAAGCUUCAGCUAAGAGCCAUUCCAAUCGAUUCCAAUAAUGAUAAAACGGGAACUGACUUCUAGUACACGAUAGUACACGAAUAUAAAUGUCACGAAAGUGAACGAGAAUAUCCAUUCGUCAGAAUCUGACAAACGAUUGACGCAUGCGCAGACAACUAGUACCAGGCCCAGUUGUUUGCCUAACCGUUAUAAAAGCGAAAACUCGGCCUGGGAUCGAGGCUAUGACAGGAUCUGAGGUGAGGGUUCACAGAUAACUAAUAGCUAGAAGUCAUAGUGUUAUAUUAUAGCACUCCCUUUGCUUUGUCCAUUAGUAUCAUGCAUAGAUAAGUCAGCUAAUAGCCAGAAGUCAUAGUAAGUAGAUCCGUAAGCGCUUUUUGUUCCUGCAGAAAAGAGGGGGGCCUAAUCUCACAGUGGGGGGCCUAAACAUGGGGGGGCCCAAAAUUUUAUGACACCGGUACUGACUGUCGAGCUGUAUAUUGUCAAUGACCUCGUCCAACAAAUGUGACUGGUGUGAAAAGUGCAUGUGCAGAUGAUAGUAAGACGGCUGAUAAUGGAGAUAGCAGUGCAGCUCCUCAGCAGUGGUUCGAGACAGACAGACUACCGUAUGCUUGUUGUAGCCAAAGAGGAAUUGUCUACAACAACACAGUGUACCUAAUGGGGGGAUAUGACCUCAAUAAUCUAAGCAAGGUGUGUGCUGCUCAAGUCGACAAGCUCAUCUCAGCAGACCGACAGGAUGAUGGGAGUGCCAACAAAGCCGACUCUGUAUGGAAUACAAUAUCCAACACACCAUCUUACCGGCCCUCCCCUGUAACGAUAUCCGGCACCCUCUUUGUUGUUGGUGGAGUGGAUAGUGAUGAAGCCACUCAAAGGAUCUACGCCUACUCAUCCUCGAUGGACUCCUGGCUCUAUGUUGGUAAUCUACCAUCUCCUGUAGCACGUGCUGCCACUGUGUCACUGUCUCCAACAGAGUGCCUUUUGAUUGGGGGACUGAACAAUGAAUGUGAAAGACGAUCAACUGUGUAUAAAAUUAGUAUCACAACAACUAUUUCUUGAGUAUUUUAUUGCUCAAAUAAUGUUCAUGAUAUUUAUUUUCUUAA